rnacentral:miRNA from 1 species
AGGGUGUUUGUGUCUUU